rnacentral:rRNA from 1 species
GAAACUCAAAUGAAGUUGACGGGGCCCGCACAAGGCGGUGGAGCAUGUGGUUUAAUUCGAAGCAACGCGAAGAACCUUACCAGGUCUUGACAUCCCCUGACAACCCGAGAGAUCGGGCGUUCCCCUUCGGGGGGACAGGGUGACAGGUGGUGCAUGGUUGUCGUCAGCUCGUGUCGUGAGAUGUUGGGUUAAGUCCCGCAACGAGCGCAACCCUCGACCUUAGUUGCCAGCAUUCAGUUGGGCACUCUAAGGUGACUGCCGGCUAAAAGUCGGAGGAAGUGGGGAUGACGUCAAAUCAUCAUGCCCCUUAUGACCUGGGCUACACACGUGCUACAAUGGGCGGUACAAAGGGCUGCGAACCCGCGAGGGGGAGCGAAUCCCAAAAAGCCGCUCUCAGUUCGGAUUGCAGGCUGCAACUCGCCUGCAUGAAGCCGGAAUCGCUAGUAAUCGCGGAUCAGCAUGCCGCGGUGAAUACGUUCCCGGGCCUU